GUUAAUUAGGUUCCUUGGAACAAAAAGAUGUCGGGACCUUCAGGCGCUGAGGGUUCCUCCAAUCCAGCCUGGCCAGGUUGCAAAGCCCCCAAGCGAUGGUAUCAAGUAGACCUGUGUCCCUGUUCCACUUCUAGGCAGCUGUGUGACCUUGGCCGUUCACUCAAGCUUUGGUUUUCUCAUCUGUGAAAGGAAACCAGGACCGCACUCCCAGCUGGCAGUGGAGGUCACAGGUAUGGACUAGUCAUCUUGGGCUAAAGGCUAUGCAGUCUGUACAUGCUGGAACCACCUUCCGACCUAAGUCUGUUACCCAGACUCUGUCCCUCCUGGAGGAAAGCACAAAGGAGUGACCUUGUGAUCCAGGCUGGCCAGUAAGACUCGGGUGAAAGCCUGACGAGGGGUUUCUGGAAAACUGCUUUUCAAAUAGGAGGGGAAAUGUGUCAGGCAAACCCCUCCACCCUCCCCACCGGAGCUCUCUGGUGUGGCCGGGGCAUUGGAGGCCAUGGCUGCCAUCCUGUCACCUUGCGAUGAGGAACACAAGGGACGCUCGCCCAGACCUUGAGCCUGGCACCAUCCGACUGCUCCACCAAGCUUCUUGCUUGAAAAAUAAACCCACGUUUGUUCAAGUGAGUUGGACUCUCUGCUACCUGCUGCUGAGUGCGUUCCUAGUGGCUACAUGUGGUUUGCCCAAGGGAGCUUCUCAAACCUAUCUUCCCUGUGGUGGACCAGAGAGGUCGAGGGCAGGAGCUCUGGAAGUCAGAGGGAGCAAAUUUUAAUCCUGGCUUUCACCCCCAGUGUGCAACUAACCUCCUCUCCCAUGUCUCCCUCCCUCUGCAAAAUGGAUGUAAAAAUAUCUCCAAAGGAGCCUGGGGAAUUAGAUGAGAUACUGCUUAGCAGGCGCUCAAGAAUUGGUGGCCGCCAGCACCUCUGGGAACACCUUUAUCCUGUGUUCUAAUGAAGGUAGGGGUCCCACAACAGGCUCAGGGCAGUAAAUAGUGGAAACGGGCCAGGGCUUCCAAAUCACCUGGACUCUCAAGCAGCUCUCGGUGCCGGAUGCAUACUCCUGACCUCAGUGGGUGUUUAUAGCACAGACAACCCCCGGGUUGGCCCAAGCCAUCUCCAUGUCACAGAACAAAAAUGAUAGGAUGUUAUCACACCUGCUGUCAUUUAUGCAGUGGGUUCGGUGCAUAGGGCACAGAGUGGCAAGUCCAUUUUAAAGGACAGACAGCGAGCCAGCGAUGGAGCCAAGCCUCGAGGCUGGGAGCUCACUGUGCCUCCUGCCAAGCCCAGCCAAGCUAAAGGUUUUGGCACCAAAAGCAGGAAAGGCAGAAAUGCCAGGGGACAAAGCACUUUCAUGCCUCAUUUAACCCUGUGACAUGCCUUUGAAAUCAAUAGAUCCUUAUCCUCACCUGGCAAAGGAGGCGAUCAGGCCUUGAGGAAAGAGAGCAGAUGCAGGCAGAGCAGGACUGGAACAAAGGUUUCCCGGUCCCCGGUCCUGCUGCCCUGUCCCCUCUGGAAUGGCACAGUUGGAAGCCGAGUAAGGAUGACAAGUCCAUGGACGAGGAAGGUCAUCGGACAGUGUCUCUUUGACACAGCUCAGAUGACCCUGGUGUCGUGGAGGAGACCUGCUGGAGGCUGGGUGCUUUGCAUCUUUUCCCUAGAUUCUCCUUUCACAGAUGAAGAGACUGUGGUUCUGAGAGGCUACCUGCCCUCUGCACACAGCCAGCAAGGACAGAUCCCAUGUCCUGUCCACUCUGUGACCCUAAUCACACUAGAGUUUUCCUGCCUUGCCCUCACCUGUUAGCUACAGCAGCUUGGAUACUGUAUGUUUGUAUGCUUGUGUAUGUAGUGUGUAUUUGACUUUAGCUUCUGUUUGAAUAGUUGUUUCUAUAGCUGACAUUUUUUAAAAUCACUGGUCCUUCUGUCACACAUGUGAUUCUUUUCAUGCAUUGGCUUCUUGGUCCUGAGACUUACUCUCUUUUACACAGGGACAGCAUUCCAAGCAAACAUCUGUACAGAACCAUCAGAACCAUCCCUGGCUGUAAAAUAUGAUAAGACUAUGCCAGCAUGUCCCUAGGGAAGGUCAGUCCUGUGGACUCACACCUACUGGUUCCUUAAUUAAAUGCUAAGCUCCCCCAAGAACAGGGACUGGGUCUGAUACAUUUUUGUCACUUUGGGUUUCCAGCUCUAGAUGGAUGCCUUGUAUACAGUAGGCAUUUAUUAAAUGUUUGCUUAUGGGGGAUCCCUGGGUGGCUCAGCGGUUUAGCGCCUGCCUUUGGCCCAGGGCGCGAUCCUGGAGUCCCGGGAUCGAGUCCCGCAUCAGGCU